AAUCAUCUAAAACACCCCCCAAACACCACCACCACUUUCCAACACCACCAACAAUGACUGCCACCGCUUCGCUUUCCCUCAUUCCCGCCACACCAACCUGCCACCCUGUCCCCUCUUCCUUGUCGCUACCCCCAAUUAACCUUCCUCCUCACCCCAACCUGUAACUUUUCUCUCCCUCUCCGAUCUCUCACAUCAUGCAAAUCCCUUCUAAAACCUCACACCCCUGCAGUCUCUUGGAUAUAUAUACGGUGGGAUGCUGGUAAUCUGAAUGCUAGAAAAAGCUAGUUUUGUGGUAUAUGGAAUGGAAGAGAGAAAAAUGCAAGGGUUUGGGGGGUGAAUGGGAUCAGAGAGAGAGAGGGAGGGAAGUGAGGAAGAGGGUUUCAGGGGAGUGGCUACUAGUAAAGGCG
rnacentral:lncRNA from 1 species